rnacentral:rRNA from 1 species
AGUGAACGCUGGCGGCGUGCUUAACACAUGCAAGUCGAACGAGAACGGGUUAUAGCUUGCUAUAAUUGUCAGCUAAGUGGCGCACGGGUGAGUAAUGUAUAGGUAAUAUGCCUCUUACUAAGGGAUAACAAAUGGAAACGUUUGCUAAUACCUUAUACUCCUUAUUAACAGAAGUUAAUAAGGGAAAGAUUUAUUGGUAAGAGAUUAGCCUGUAUUGUAUCAGUUAGUUGGUGGGGUAAUGGCUUACCAAGACUAUGACACAUAACUGGUUUGAGAGGAUGAUCAGUCACACUGGAACUGAGACACGGUCCAGACUCCUACGGGAGGAAGCAGUGGGGAAUAUUGCACAAUGGACGGAAGUCUGAUGCAGCAACGCCGCGUGAGGAUGACACAUUUCGGUGCGUAAACUCCUUUUAUAUGAGAAGAUAAUGACGGUAUUAUAUGAAUAAGCACCGGCUAACUCCGUGCCAGCAGCCGCCGUAA